GUGGUUGUGGCUUAGUGGUAGAGCACUUGCCUAGCAUGUGUGAGGCACUGGGUUCAAUUCUCAGGACCACA
rnacentral:tRNA from 1 species